rnacentral:rRNA from 1 species
AUUGAACGCUGGCGGCGUGCCUAAUACAUGCAAGUCGAACGAGCGGCGGACGGGUGAGUAAUGUAUGGGGACUGCCCGAUAGAGGGGGAUAACUACUGGAAACGGUGGCUAAUACCGAAUACUAUCGGAUAACCCAUAUGGGAUUAGCUAGUAGGUGGGGUAAAGGCUCACCUAGGCGACGAUCGCCAGCUGGUCUGAGAGGAUGAUAGGCCACACUGGGACUGAGACACGGCCCGGAUUCCUACGGAGGCAGCGGUGGGGAAUAUUGCACAAUGGGCGCAAGCCUUAUGCAGCCAUGCCGCGGGUAUGAAGAGGGCCUUAGGGUUGUAAAGUACUUUCAGCGGGGAGGCGUUACCCGCAGAAGAAGCACCGGCUAACUCCGUGCCAGCAGCCGCGGUAAUUC